UGUGAGGUUCUCUGACACGACAAACACUAGGAAGACUGACAGGGCAGAUCAGCCUCAGCCCAACCGACAUCACUUCUUCCAAGACCCAUAACACACAACCCUCUGGAUGGUCCUGCUUGCUGCCAUCGUACAGGUCAUGCCAUGAGCCACCCCCUGCAUCACUAUGACUCCUUCCCAUCCCACACUGGAUGUCCCCUCCAGCAGCUUCCUGAGUUGAGCCAUUCUGUGACCUGUGUGUGGGCACACAUGAUGUCCCAUUGACUGAAGGCUCAUGCCAUUCAGAAAAUCAGCCUCCAAGGCUCAGCCUCCCUCUCACCUUUGACUAAUUCUUGAGCAGCACCAAUCACUUCUACCUCUUUUACGAUUGCAAUUUAUAGGUUUUUCAGUUCACCAAACAUCUCAAAGUCCUACAGAAACAGGAACUCCACUGCAUCCUGUCUGAUUAUGGAUCUGCCUCCCUUCUCCAGGGAUCCUGAACAGAGAAGGAUGGCAGCAGAGCUGAUCUGUCAGCAGCGAACUCGAACUCGUGAGAAUCAGCUCAGCAAAAUCAAGGUCACCUUCCUCAAGGUCACAUGGCCAGUAACUGAGUUCUACUAGGAUCCAAAAGCCCUGUCACUAACAUCACAGUCAAUGUGUGUCCCUACGA